rnacentral:rRNA from 1 species
UACGUAGGGUGCGAGCGUUGUCCGGAAUUACUGGGCGUAAAGAGCUCGUAGGUGGUUUGUCGCGUUGUUCGUGAAAACUCACAACUCAAUUGUGGGCGUGCGGGCGAUACGGGCAGACUGGAGUACUGCAGGGGAGACUGGAAUUCCUGGUGUAGCGGUGGAAUGCGCAGAUAUCAGGAGGAACACCGGUGGCGAAGGCGGGUCUCUGGGCGGUAACUGACGCUGAGGAGCGAAAGCGUGGGGAGCGAACAGG